rnacentral:rRNA from 1 species
CCUACGGGGGUCUGCAGUGGGGAAUAUUGGGCAAUGGGCGCAAGCCUGACCCAGCAACGCCGCGUGAAGGAAGAAGGCUUUCGGGUUGUAAACUUCUUUUAUCAGGGACGAAGCAAGUGACGGUACCUGAUGAAUAAGCCACGGCUAACUACGUGCCAGCCGCCGCGUUAAUACGUAGGUGGCAAGCGUUAUCCGGAUUUACUGGGUGUAAAGGGCGUGUAGGCGGGAGUGCAAGUCAGAUGUGAAAACUAUGGGCUCAACCCAUAGCCUGCAUUUGGAACUACCGGGCUGGAGUGCCGGAGAGGUAGGCGGAAUUCCUAGUGUAGCGGUGAAAUGCGGAGAUAUCAGGAGGAACACCGGUGGCGAAGGCGGCCUGCUGGACUGCAACUGACGUUGAGGCCCGAAAGCGUGGGGAGCAAACAGGAUUAGAUACCCCAGUAGUC